GGGAAGGACAGCACCCAAGAAAAGAGAGACUCCAGAGAGCAGAGAGGAGGGAUCCCCCAGCCCCCCUAACCCUGACGCAGAACAACACUCUCUCAGAGCGUGAUUUCAGAUGGUGGAAGAACUUGCAAUCUGGCAAUAAGGCCUUUCUCAGCUAGAGUGGCCGAGCUGAAGCUUCAUGGACUCCAGCCCUGAUCGCUGCAGGACCUGUGCUGUGGUUGGGAAUUCAGUUAAUUUGCUGGGGUCUCACUAUGGACCCCUCAUUGACCUUCAUGACGUCAUCAUGAGGUAAACUAUGCCAGCGUACCCUUCCUGCCCCCUGUGGAUGCCGGACUAGAUUUCCUGCUUGUCGCUUAUUGAAGGUUAAGUCCAUUAGACUAGGUCAUUCUUAGCAGCCAUUGAUGAGCUAAAUGAACCAUGAAUGAAUAUCAACAAACAAACAAAGAGAUAUAGGCCUAUAACUACAUAUAGUCCCUAAAAUAUAAAUGAUACUGAUGUUAUUUCCCUUGAUUGUACAAUCUAGGUUCAAUACAGCUCGUACUGUGGGCUAUGAAGGGAUGUGGGGAACAAAACGACUCUCCACAUCAUGUACCCAGAGAGCGCUGUGGAUUUGGAUGACCACACACAUCUCAUAUUAUUUCCCUUCAAAAUAAGGGACCUUGAGUGGCUAGUCAGCGCUUUCACCACAAAAUCUGUGAAAAUGACAAACAAAGGGUUGAAAUCAACAGUCAAAGCAAAUCAGGGUUUGGUCGGCGCCAGCGGCGCUGUACAAUGCUCUGUCACCUGAUGAGGAGGAGCCCGGAGGAGCGUGCGGACGGGAUGAGGGCCGGGCGUCAGUCCACAACAGUAACACACGACAACACGCAACAAACUAACACCCAGUGGCAUAGACGUCGGAACUAGGGGUGCGGGGGGUGCGGCCGCACCCCCUCCCAUCCGCCCCCCCCAUCAGCCUCCCUACCCACAGCAUUAUGCAUAAAAAAUAAAAAUAAAGAAUCUGA
ensembl:lncRNA